rnacentral:misc_RNA from 1 species
GUUGCCUUUCUCUUCUCUAUUUCAGAUUUACCUCGCCUCUCUCCUCCCUUUCUUAAUAUCGUUUGCCUCUCUCCUCUCCAAAUAUAUAGCUAUGAAUCAUUAGUAAGCAAACUAUAAAUACGUCUGUCUAAUUAAGUUCAGACUAUAGUCAUUAUGAAAUGUUUGUCAUUAAAUUACAACGUAAAAUAGUAAUAGCCAAAUUUAGAGUCUUAAAGCAUAGGUUAAUUUAGUAAAACAUAUCUCUAAUUGAAUCAUUCUUAAAGGGUGGGCCAACUCAAUAGGCAUUAAGUAAUAUAAAACGGAGGGUGUAUAUAUAUAUAUAUGUAAUGUCUUAG